rnacentral:rRNA from 1 species
AGAGUUUGAUCCUGGCUCAGGAUGAACGCUGGCGGCGUGCUUAACACAUGCAAGUCGAACGAAGCACUCUAUUUGAUUUCCUUCGGGAUUGAUUAUUUUGUGACUGAGUGGCGGACGGGUGAGUAACGCGUGGGUAACCUGCCUUGUACAGGGGGAUAACAGUUGGAAACAGCUGCUAAUACCGCAUAAGCGCACAGUACCGCAUGGUAUAGUGUGAAAAACUCCGGUGGUAUAAGAUGGACCCGCGUUUGAUUAGCUAGUUGGUGGGGUAACGGCCUACCAAGGCGACGAUCAAUAGCCGACCUGAGAGGGUGACCGGCCACAUUGGGACUGAGACACGGCCCAAACUCCUACGGGAGGCAGCAGUGGGGAAUAUUGCACAAUGGGCGAAAGCCUGAUGCAGCGACGCCGCGUGAGCGAAGAAGUAUUUCGGUAUGUAAAGCUCUAUCAGCAGGGGAGAUAAUGACGGUACCUGACUAAGAAGCACCGGCUAAAUACGUGCCAGCAGCCGCGGUAAUACGUAUGGUGCAAGCGUUAUCCGGAUUUACUGGGUGUAAAGGGAGCGCAGGCGGUGCGGCAAGUCUGAUGUGAAAGCCCGGGGCUCAACCCCGGUACUGCAUUGGAAACUGUCGUGCUAGAGUGUCGGAGGGGUAAGCGGAAUUCCUAGUGUAGCGGUGAAAUGCGUAGAUAUUAGGAGGAACACCAGUGGCGAAGGCGGCUUACUGGACGAUAACUGACGCUGAGGCUCGAAAGCGUGGGGAGCAAACAGGAUUAGAUACCCUGGUAGUCCACGCCGUAAA